ensembl:lncRNA
UGGAAAGAAAACGACUGAAGCGCCGUGAAGACGUUUCACCUCUCACCCAAGAGACUUCUUCAGUGCGGCGUUAUCAUGAAGCCCUUCGAGCCUGCAUAAAACCAGGCUCAAAGAAAUGACGCUUUAACAGCAUCCAACGACACCCCCACCCCACCCCAUCCAAAUUGGUACCCAGGUUGCUAUGGCAACCAUAAGUGGCAGUGCUGAUGUCAGAAACUCCUCCAAGGACAGUCAUGCAGGCAUUGGGUCAGGUGAUAUGCAACGCUGCUGGGCAUCCAGGAACAAAAUGGCGGCCACUCCCCCCCACCACCGCCUCAGUUUUCUUUUCUUUUUCUUCUUUUUUUCUUAACCACAUGUGAGACUCUCUCUUUGAGCUUAAACAAAAGCGAGGAGUGCACCUGUGCUUCCCCCCCCCUCUCUCUCGCUCUCUUUUUGUUUUGAAAUGUGUGAUAUGGAUGAUGUGGGAUAUUCUCUGUGUGAUUGGUGUGAGCGAAAGGCAUCACAGAGCUGAGCUGUCUGAGCCCCUCAGAGAUCGGCUGCCUGUCUGAAGAAUUUAGAAAUCUGUCUGGCUAUUUAAGCGCAUUCACAUCUGUGUGUCCCUUUGUGUUUGAAUGUGUCCGUACACUGGUUUUCUCAGGUUGGCAUUAAGCAGUCAAAGGUCCCCCCCCCCUCCUCCCCUUCAGACACUCAGCGCUCCCCCACUGCCUCUUUCUCUUCUCUGUCUCUAAUUGAGCUUUGUGUCUACCUCCAUCUCCAUUCAAAUCCAGCCUCAUUUGCAUACUGCCGCUGCGUGCUGGACAGCUCCCCAGCUGUACUGUACAGAACUAAAUGAGGAACACAGACCCACUUUGCGUGACGUGAAUACUAAGCAGGCGCGAUAGUCAUUUUCCUGUUUCCUGAAAAUACUACCUGAGAGAUCAGGGGUAAAUAGGAAGGAGUGCGGUUGUAUCAAAUCAGUUGCUUCAGAGACAGACGGGCAUUACCAGACUGGGAAGGGGAUGCUGAUAUAGAGGCAGAAUUAAUUAAUUUUUUAAACGAAACAAGGCA